rnacentral:rRNA from 1 species
UACAGAGACUGCAAGCGUUAUUCGGAUUCACUGGGCGUAAAGGGUGCGCAGGCGGUCGGGCGUGUCAGAUGUGAAAUCCCGAGGCUCAACCUCGGAACUGCGUCUGAAACUACUCGACUAGAGUACUGGAGAGGGUAACGGAAUUCACGGUGUAGCAGUGAAAUGCGUAGAUAUCGUGAGGAACACCAGAGGCGAAGGCGGUUACCUGGACAGUUACUGACGCUCAGGCACGAAAGCAUGGGGAGCAAAAGGG